rnacentral:snRNA from 1 species
AUACAUACCUGGACGGGGUCAAUGGGUGAUCAAUAAGACCCAUGGCCUAGGUUUGUGACCUUCAUUGCACUUUGAAGGGGUGCUUAUCUAAGGUCGGCCCAAGUGGUCGAGACUACGUCAUAAUUUGUUGCUGUGGGGGCAUGCGUUCGCGUGGCCCUACC